rnacentral:rRNA from 1 species
AGGACGAACGCUGGCGGCGUGCUUAACACAUGCAAGUCGAGCGGAAAGGCCCUUCGGGGUACUCAAGCGGCGAACGGGUGAGUAACACGUGAGCAACCUGCCCUUAGCUCUGGGAUAGCUCCGGGAAACCGGAAUUAAUACCGGAUAUUACACCGGCUGGCAUCGGCUGGUGUGGAAAGAUUUAUCGGCUAAGGAUGGACUCGCGGCCUAUCAGCUUGUUGGUGGGGUAGAAGCCUACCAAGGCGACGACGGGUA